rnacentral:lncRNA from 1 species
CUCCGGCCAAAAGAGGCGCGGGCGGGGAGAGAGCGGCCAACUCCGCCAGAGAGAGAAGGAGAGGGAGGGAAAGGAGGGAUGUGCCUCCGCACACACGUUGCCCAGAGCGAAAUGCGCGCUCCUCCCUCAAGUCAAGGAGUUGCCAUACAAAACGCGCCCUGCUCCGCACACGAGGCGCAUCUCUUCUCGCCCCCUCACAAGCCCCAACGCAGGGAGAAAGCAGGCUCGACGGUAUUCCGGGUUUAAAUGUCGAAAUUCAAAAGCGGCUGAGGGGAAGCUGAAACUUUUUUUCCCCUCACGCUCCACGGCGGGAAUGUUGCCCCAAAGCUGCGGCCACAGAAAAAAAGAGAAAGGGGCGGGGAGGCGAGGCGGCGCAGGGUGCCUCCAAGUGGGGCCAAAAGUUUCUCCUCCUCCUCUCCUCUGCCUCUCCUCCUCCUCGUCCUCCUCCUCGGCGCAGCUUCUCCGCAGCCGCCCAGCUCCGCCGCCAGCCGCACAAGGGAAGGAAAAAGAGAGAAACACACGCGGGCGAGUCGGGUGUGCGCGGACGGAGAUUGACAAGCCUCUCCUCCAAUCCAAGGGAGGCGCCGGCCCGGAGUGUGUGGUGUUUAUUGAGUUUUCGACGUUAAAUACAGUGAAAGUGUGAGAACAAAAUGUGUUGCAAAAGAAAAGAGUGAAACAUAGCCAAAAAGGAAAAAGGAGGAACGGGGGCAGAGAGGGAGAAAAAGAUAGAACAAAAAGAGAAAAAAAACCUCGACUUCCCAUCAGUCUCUCAAGGGUGCAAAACUCGUCAUUUGCAGUUCUUCUAUCCAUCAAUUCCAAGCUACCCGAUUCUGCCGCCUGCUUUAUAAACCAGACGUAUCUAUUAAAAAUGUAUUUCCAUUCUUCUGAAUAAAGUCUCUAAAACCUGACCAAUCAGUUUUCUUAUUCCCGUCACUCAAUUUUUGACUCAGAAAGUCCAUCUGUAUUAUGUCCAAUACUUUGAGGACCCAAUCGUCUAUGUUUGGUAUUUUCUUUUCUUUCCAUACUUUCGCUAAUACAAGUCUUGCUGCAGUGCUCAGAUGAAAAAAAAAAUCUAUCUUGGCUUUCAUUCAAUUUGGAAUUUGUUAAGCCCAAUAGGUACAUUUUAGGAUCUAAUUAAAAUUUUAUUUUUAAUAUUUCUUGCGUCUUUUGGUGGAUCUUAUCCCAAUUUUUUUAAACUUUUUUGCAUUCCCACCAUUGAUAUAUAAACGUUCCGAUUUUUCUUCCACAUUUC